rnacentral:rRNA from 1 species
AUUGAACGCUGGCGGCAGGCCUAACACAUGCAAGUCGAACGGUAACAGGAAACAGCUUGCUGUUUCGCUGACGAGUGGCGGACGGGUGAGUAAUGUCUGGGAAACUGCCUGAUGGAGGGGGAUAACUACUGGAAACGGUAGCUAAUACCGCAUAACGUCGCAAGACCAAAGAGGGGGACCUUCGGGCCUCUUGCCAUCGGAUGUGCCCAGAUGGGAUUAGCUAGUAGGUGGGGUAACGGCUCACCUAGGCGACGAUCCCUAGCUGGUCUGAGAGGAUGACCAGCCACACUGGAACGGAGACACGGUCCAGACUCCUACGGGAGGCAGCAGUGGGGAAUAUUGCACAAUGGGCGCAAGCCUGAUGCAGUCAUGCCGCGUGUAUGAAGAAGGCCUUCGGGUUGUAAAGUACUUUCAGCGGGGAGGAAGGGAGUAAAGUUAAUACCUUUGCUCAUUGACGUUACCCGCAGAAGAAGCACCGGCUAACUCCGUGCCAGCCGCCGCAGUAA